CGCUCUUCAGAUCUGUCUGAUUUGCCGCCUUCGGGGCAUGCCUCUCAUAUCCCAUCUCAGAAAGACAAAAGACGAAAGACGAAAAGACACACCACAUCUGAG